CUACGGGCCGCUCCAGUAGGGAAUCUUGCGCAAUGGGCGAAAGCCUGACGCAGCAACGCCGCGUGAACGAUGAAGCUUUUCGGAGUGUAAAGUUCUGUCAGUGGGGACGAAAUUUGACGGUACCCACAGAGGAAGCACCGGCUAACUCCGUGCCAGCAGCCGCGGUAAUACGGAGGGUGCAAGCGUUGUCCGGAAUCAUUGGGCGUAAAGAGUUCGUAGGUGGUAUGUUAAGUCUGGUGUUAAAGCCCGAAGCUCAACUUCGGUUCGGCACUGGAUACUGGCAAACUUGAAUGUGGUAGAGGUAAAGGGAAUUCCUGGUGUAGCGGUGAAAUGCGUAGAUAUCAGGAGGAACAUCGGUGGCGUAAGCGCUUUACUGGGCCAUAAUUGACACUGAGGAACGAAAGCCAGGGUAGCAAAUGGGAUUAAAUACCCGUGUAGUC
rnacentral:rRNA from 1 species